AAAAAGUUGACUUGCGACGAACUUUUUAUUUUGAUACGCGAAUACACCCGGAAGUACGUGGAUUUAUAAACCUCUUUUCAAGCCCUGUAUUGCUAUUUUUGUCACCACCUCCCCACGUUAGGAUUGGGUAAUUUGCUCGCCUGCUGCCUUCCUUGGAUGUAGUAACCGUUUCUCCCUAAUCGAACACUAAAGCCGGUUUUCCACUUCGCCCGUUUCGCUACGAUACGGGCAAAGUGGAAAACCGGCUUUAGUGUUCGAUUAGGGAGAAACGGUUACUACAUCCAAGGAAGGCAGCAGGCGAGCAAAUUACCCAAUCCUAACGUGGGGAGGUGGUGACAAAAAUAGCAAUACAGGGCUUUUUUGUAGUCUUGUAAUUGUAAUGAGUACAAUCUCUUAACGAGGGAAAAUUGAAGGUGAUUUCUGGCAUAUAGCAGUCGCGGUAAUUCCAGCUCCGAUAGUUCGUAGUUG